AACGAACGCUGGCGGCAGGCUUAACACAUGCAAGUCGAACGCCCCGCAAGGGGAGUGGCAGACGGGUGAGUAACGCGUGGGAACAAACCCUUUUCUACGGAAUAGCUCUGGGAAACUGGAAUUAAUACCGUAUACGCCCUACGGGGGAAAGAUUUAUCGGGGAAGGAUUGGCCCGCGUUGGAUUAGCUAGUUGGUGGGGUAAAGGCCUACCAAGGCGACGAUCCAUAGCUGGUCUGAGAGGAUGAUCAGCCACAUUGGGACUGAGACACGGCCCAAACUCCUACGGGAGGCAGCAGUGGGGAAUAUUGGACAAUGGGCGCAAGCCUGAUCCAGCCAUGCCGCGUGAGUGAUGAAGGCCUUAGGGUUGUAAAGCUCUUUCACCGAUGAAGAUAAUGACGGUAGUCGGAGAAGAAGCCCCGGCUAACUUCGUG
rnacentral:rRNA from 1 species